rnacentral:rRNA from 1 species
UACAGAGGUGGCAAGCGUUGUUCGGAAUUACUGGGCGUAAAGCGCACGUAGGCGGCUUUGUAAGUUAGAGGUGAAAGCCCGGAGCUCAACUCCGGAACUGCCUUUAAGACUGCAUCGCUUGAAUCCAGGAGAGGUGAGUGGAAUUCCGAGUGUAGAGGUGAAAUUCGUAGAUAUUCGGAAGAACACCAGUGGCGAAGGCGGCUCACUGGACUGGUAUUGACGCUGAGGUGCGAAAGCGUGGGGAGCAAACAGG